rnacentral:rRNA from 1 species
GUGCCAGCCGCCGCGGUAAUACGUAGGGUGCGAGCGUUAAUCGGAAUUACUGGGCGUAAAGCGUGCGCAGGCGGUUUUGUAAGACAGUCGUGAAAUCCCCGGGCUCAACCUGGGAAUUGCGAUUGUGACUGCAAGGCUGGAGUGCGGCAGAGGGGGAUGGAAUUCCGCGUGUAGCAGUGAAAUGCGUAGAUAUGCGGAGGAACACCGAUGGCGAAGGCAAUCCCCUGGGCCUGCACUGACGCUCAUGCACGAAAGCGUGGGGAGCAAACAGGAUUAGAAACCUUGUAGUCC